ACCAGGUUGCCUAAGGAGGGG
rnacentral:miRNA from 1 species